UAGUCCACGCCCUAAACGAUGAAUGUUAGUCGUCGGGUAGCUAGUCUAUUCGGUGAUGCAGCUAACGCAUUAAACAUUCCGCCUGGGGAGUACGGUCGCAAGAUUAAAACUCAAAGGAAUAGACGGGGACCCGCACAAGUGGUGGAGCAUGUGGUUUAAUUCGAAGAUACGCGAAGAACCUUACCUAGCCUUGACAUAUUUUAGAACACUUUAGAGAUAGAGUGGUGCCUUCGGGAGCUAAUAUACAGGUGCUGCACGGCUGUCGUCAGCUCGUGUCGUGAGAUGUUAGGUUAAGUCCUUUAACGAGCGCAACCCCUAUUCUUAUUUGCCAUCAGGUUAUGCUGGGAACUAUAAGGAAACUGCCAACGUCAAGUUGGAGGAAGGUGGGGAUGAUGUCAAGUCAUCAUGGCCCUUAUGGGCUGGGCUACACACAUGCUACAAUGGUGGUUACAGUAGGACGCAAUGGAGCAAUCCGGAGCAAAUCCUCAAAGAUCAU
rnacentral:rRNA from 1 species